rnacentral:rRNA from 1 species
GGUGAACGCUGGCGGCGUGCCUAAUACAUGCAAGUCGAGCGAACAGACGAGGAGCUUGCUCCUCUGACGUUAGCGGCGGACGGGUGAGUAACACGUGGAUAACCUACCUAUAAGACUGGGAUAACUUCGGGAAACCGGAGCUAAUACCGGAUAAUAUAUUGAACCGCAUGGUUCAAUAGUGAAAGACGGUUUUGCUGUCACUUAUAGAUGGAUCCGCGCCGCAUUAGCUAGUUGGUAAGGUAACGGCUUACUAAGGCGACGAUGCGUAGCCGACCUGAGAGGGUGAUCGGCCACACUGGAACUGAGACACGGUCCAGACUCCUACGGGAGGCAGCAGUAGGGAAUCUUCCGCAAUGGGCGAAAGCCUGACGGAGCAACGCCGCGUGAGUGAUGAAGGUCCUCGGAUCGUAAAACUCUGUUAUUAGGGAAGAACAAAUGUGUAAGUAACUAUGCACGUCUUGACGGUACCUAAUCAGAAAGCCACGGCUAACUACGU